UACGUAGGGCGCAAGCGUUGUCCGGAAUUAUUGGGCGUAAAGAGCUCGUAGGCGGUCUGUCGCGUCGGAUGUGAAAAUCCAGGGCUUAACCCUGGACCUGCAUUCGAUACGGGCAGACUAGAGUUCGGUAGGGGAGACGUGGAAUUCCUGGUGUAGCGGUGAAAUGCGCAGAUAUCAGGAGGAACACCGGUGGCGAAGGCGGGUCUCUGGGCCGAUACUGACGCUGAGGAGCGAAAGCGUGGGGAGCGAACAGG
rnacentral:rRNA from 1 species